UGAAGGAAUACCGAUGGCGAAGGCAGCUUCCUGGCAUCAUACUGACACUGAGGCUCGAAAGCGUGGGUAGCAAACAGGAUUAGAUACCCUGGUAGUCCACGCCGUAAACGAUGUCUACUAGUCGUUGGGUCCCUUGAGGACUUAGUGACGCAGCUAACGCAAUAAGUAGACCGCCUGGGGAGUACGGCCGCAAGGUUAAAACUCAAAUGAAUUGACGGGGGCCCGCACAAGCGGUGGAGCAUGUGGUUUAAUUCGAUGCAACGCGAAGAACCUUACCUGGUCUUGACAUAUCUAGAAUCCUGCAGAGAUGCGGGAGUGCCUUCGGGAAUUAGAAUACAGGUGCUGCAUGGCUGUCGUCAGCUCGUGUCGUGAGAUGUUGGGUUAAGUCCCGCAACGAGCGCAACCCUUGUCCUUAGUUACCAGCGGGUUAAGCCGGGAACUCUAAGGAUACUGCCAGUGACAAACUGGAGGAAGGCGGGGACGACGUCAAGUCAUCAUGGCCCUUACGACCAGGGCUACACACGUGCUACAAUGGUAGGUACAGAGGGCAGCUACACAGCGAUGUGAUGCGAAUCUCAAAAAGCCUAUCGUAGUCCAGAUUGGAGUCUGCAACUCGACUCCAUGAAGUAGGAAUCGCUAGUAAUCGCGGAUCAGAAUGCCGCGGUGAAUACGUUCCCGGGCCUUGUACACCCCUUAA
rnacentral:rRNA from 1 species